rnacentral:rRNA from 1 species
GGGCUCGCGGCCUAUCAGCUUGUUGGUGAGGUAAUGGCUCACCAAGGCGUCGACGGGUAGCCGGCCUGAGAGGGUGACCGGCCACACUGGGACUGAGACACGGCCCAGACUCCUACGGGAGGCAGCAGUGGGGAAUAUUGCACAAUGGGCGGAAGCCUGAUGCAGCAACGCCGCGUGAGGGAUGACGGCCUUCGGGUUGUAAACCUCUUUUAGCAGGGAAGAAGCGAGAGUGACGGUACCUGCAGAAAAAGCGCCGGCUAACUACGUGCCAGCAGCCGCGGUAAUACGUAGGGCGCAAGCGUUAUCCGGAAUUAUUGGGCGUAAAGAGCUCGUAGGCGGUUUGUCGCGUCUGCUGUGAAAUCCCGAGGCUCAACCUCGGGUCUGCAGUGGGUACGGGCAGACUAGAGUGCGGUAGGGGAGAUUGGAAUUCCUGGUGUAGCGGUGGAAUGCGCAGAUAUCAGGAGGAACACCGAUGGCGAAGGCAGAUCUCUGGGCCGUAACUGACGCUGAGGAGCGAAAGGGUGGGGAGCAAACAGGCUUAGAUACCCUGGUAGUCCACCCCGUAAACGUUGGGAACUAGUUGUGGGGACCAUUC